AUAUAAAACUGUUAUAAAAUAACAAAUAAAACACUAAUAUUAUUAAUGACUUUAAGAUAAAUAACAAUACUGAUAAUACAUAAUCAUGAAUACUAAGUCGUACACUCAGUUGACUUUGGGCUGGAUGCUUUUGCUGGACCUGGCAACCCUGCUCUCGAGGCACCUGAGUGAAAGGUGUGGCGGCGUUUCUCCCGCGUGCGAUGGGCGUCGCUGCGGCAGCGCGCAGUUCCACCUUAAAUCCGUAUGCAGUUACAGGAGGCCGCAGGAACAACUGAAGAGAGUUUCUUCAGAGACGACUGGCUAAAGGUUAUCAGGUUAUUCAAAGACUGCCUCUAGAUGUCAACCUUUUUUCCUGACCUGCCAUAAAGCAGCUCUACAGUAACCUAACUGAUGAACAGCUGGACAAUUUGGUGAGGUGCUGCGACUGGUGAUAAAGCAUCCUCUCCACUUGCUGUUUCUUGAAGGUGGUGCAAAAGAGUCAUUUUAUUACGGAUCAAGUGUCUGAGAUGUUUGUCAACAGCAGCAGGUGCAUUUGAUUACACAAUGUUAAAUUAUUGGCCUAGGUGAAAAGUCAAGUAGAACUCUUGAAUUGGCCACAGGACAGUUCUUCAGGUAGCACAAUUCUCUUGGCACAUGCAGCUACAACAGUGUAACAGAUGUUAGGAUCCUUCUUCUGUGAACGAGGACCUUGUUCUGGGAGCCACUGAAGAAAGGUGACCGGUAUAACAGGAUGCUGUCCCCACCCUGAUCAUCUACAAAGCCAAAACAUUCCAUUAGCACAGAUCAUCAUCAUUCUGUAUUAAAAUCAUUAAAAUGUUCUAAUUUUCUAAGA